rnacentral:SRP_RNA from 1 species
GCCGGGCGGUGGUGGCGCACGCCUUUAAUCCCAGCACUUGGGAGGCAGAGGCAGGCGGAUCUCUGUGAGUUCGAGACCAGCCUGGUCUACAAGAGCUAGUUCCAGGACAGGCUCCAAAACCACAGAGAAACCCUGUCUCGAAAAACCAAAAAAAAAGACAGGCUUCUCUGUAGAUUUGGUGCCUGUCCUGGAACUAACUCUUGUAGACCAGGCUGGCCUCGAACGCACAGAGAUCCACCUGCCUCU